CGGUCGAUGACACGCUCAAAUGGAUUUGAACAUCCGAAUAGCCCAUCUAUGUAGGAGAAACCGCCGCGGUCCUUCGCCGGUGGAUCGAACUCCAGUUCAUAGACACAAGGAAAGAAAGACGGUGCGGAACCAGUGUAUCUUCUACCUUGACGCGUAUAUUUUGUGAAGGACACUUUAAAGGAUUGUACAGCGGAGAGACGCGUGCCUUCUCUUGCUGGUGUUGGUCAUGUUGCCAUUCAGUUUCCUAACGAUGAAAAGAUCAAAUUAUACAUGGCUGAAAGGGGAAGUAACACUUAAUCGCAAUAAAAGAUGUAUACCAUGAAUUGAAAUUUGUAUGUUUCUUGGAUUUUCGAAGUAAUGCUGAUCAUGUACAUUUUAUGUUGGCAGAUGAUAAAACUAUUAGCGAUCUAAGCCCUGGGGAACUUGCAAUUGCUUCAUCAGUGUCCAAAAUACUUGCUUCAUUACCUACUUACACAUAUGAGGUGACCUGGUUCGAACUACAGUUCAAUGUAUCUAUUGUGUGUUACAGUCGUACAGUUCAAUGUAUCUAUUCUCAUGGAUGUGUAGGUAUAAAAGUAUCUCAUUAUUGUUUA